rnacentral:tRNA from 1 species
UUCAUAAGCUCCCACACGUAACUGCUUGAUUCACUGGUUAGACGAUUGGGUCUGUAGCUCAGUUGGUUAGAGCGCACCCCUGAUAAGGGUGAGGUCGGCAGUUCGAAUCUGCCCAGACCCACCAAUUGUUGGUGUGCUGCGUGAUCCGAUACGGGGCCAUAGCUCAGCUGGGAGAGCGCCUGCUUUGCACGCAGGAGGUCAGGAGUUCGAUCCUCCUUGGCUCCACCAUCUAAACAAUCGUCGAAAGCUCAGAAAUGAAUGUUCGUGAAUGAACAUUGAUUUCUGGUCUUUGCACCAGAACUGUUCUUUUUUUUUUAUUCCCCGGGUUUUUUAUAUAAAAUUAGGACACGGAAUUGAUAUUCCUCUUCCCCCGUGGUGUGAUACUCCUUUCCCAGGGUUUCCAGAGGUUUAAUAUUAUUUGGCCNAAAUUUUCUACAAGGCCCCCCAAAAUUUUUUUCGCGGCGCCNAAAUGUGUGUCCUUCUCCUCCCCACGGUUUAUUAUUACACCCCGAAAUUUGGCCCUUGUGGGGGGGUUUAAUAUUUAUUUGUGGGUCAUAAACCUNNNCAAAA